ACUCUUGCCCUUUUUCUUUUGUUAAAUAAAGAACAUUUAAUCUUGACUGUGUUGAGUCGGCGUCCUUUAUAUGUUACUGGCCUCUUUUUGUUCGAGUCUUUGGUUGUGUUCAGUUUGGGGCCGUAACAAUAAUAUUUGUUGAAAAGAGUCAAGCACUGAAACAAAAACUGAGAAACAGCCAAGGUGAGCACAAAACUGAAUAAAGACUGAAAUGACAACUAAACUUAAAUAAAAACUGAUGAUGUAAUGAGGUGCAGGUGAAGAGACGUAUGAACACGUGCAACACUGGGAACAGGGCGGGGCUAACGAGGCUGAAGCAGGACAGAUGGACUUUAAAGUGUCACAUGAUCUUCAAGAUGAUGAGCUGUCACUCCACCUCACCUCCUCUGUUUCUGUUUCACAUCAACAGAGAGUCUGAACUGUUUCCAUGCACUCACACUGAAAACUGCAUCAGGAUGAUGUCGCCAAUAACUCUGAUUGUCAUGUUGGGUUUUCUGAGUCAGGAGUGUUCUGCAAACAAUUUCCUGACUCAGGCUGACAAAUCCAAGUCUGUUAGUCUUGGAGGGACUGUGACCAUCAGAGCCACAGGGAGCUCAAAUAUCGGUGCUGAUCUCAGUUGGUACCUUCAGAAACCUGGACAGGCUCCCAAACUCCUGAUAUACACUUCAUCAUAUCGCUUCUCUGGAACUCCGUCUCGAUUCAGUGGCAGCUAUUCUGGUUCUAGCUACACUCUGACCAUCAGUGGGUUUCAGGCUGAAGAUGUAGGAGAUUACUACUGUCUGGGCUACCAUGGCAGUGGAGUGUUCACACAGUGAUUCAGAGCCGUACAAAAACCUCCUUCAGUCUGACUGAAGUGAAAACGGCCUGCUGCAGGUGCAGAGGGUUGGUGAAGAGACUGUGAUGAGGAGAACUGGUCCAGUGAACACAAGAGUCAUCAAGCAGAACCACAAUGAACCUACAUAAAACUGAAACAGACUCACAGACACUCUUCAGUACACAGUUUUAAACUUCAGUGUCUCUGCACAAUGUGGAUGCCAAAAAGCAAAAUCAGCC